rnacentral:rRNA from 1 species
UUUUAUUUGAGAGUUUGAUCCUGGCUCAGGAUGAACGCUGGCGGCGUGCCUAACACAUGCAAGUUGAGCGAUUUACUUCGGUAAAGAGCGGCGGACGGGUGAGUAACGCGUGGGUAACCUUCCCUGUACACACGGAUAACAUACCGAAAGGUAUGCUAAUACGGGAUAAUAUAUUUGAGAGGCAUCUCUU